CAGUACCUACGGGGCGCAGCAGUGGGGAAUAUUGCACAAUGGGGGAAACCCUGAUGCAGCGACGCCGCGUGAGUGAAGAAGUAUUUCGGUACGUAAAGCUCUAUCAGCAGGGAAGAAAAUGACGGUACCUGACUAAGAAGCCCCGGCUAACUACGUGCCAGCAGCCGCGGUAAUACGUAGGGGGCAAGCGUUAUCCGGAUUUACUGGGUGUAAAGGGAGCGUAGACGGCAGCGCAAGUCUGGAGUGAAAUGCCGGGGCCCAACCCCGGAACUGCUUUGGAAACUGUGCAGCUCG
rnacentral:rRNA from 1 species